rnacentral:rRNA from 1 species
UACGGGGGGGGCAAGCGUUGUUCGGAAUUACUGGGCGUAAAGGGCUCGUAGGCGGCCAACUAAGUCAGACGUGAAAUCCCUCGGCUUAACCGGGGAACUGCGUCUGAUACUGGAUGGCUUGAGUUUGGGAGAGGGAUGCGGAAUUCCAGGUGUAGCGGUGAAAUGCGCAGAUAUCAGGAAGAACACCCGUGGCGAAGGCGGCUCUCUGGGACGGUACUGACGCUGAGACGCGAAAGCGUGGGGAGCAAACAGG